rnacentral:rRNA from 1 species
UUCUCUGAUGUUAGCGGCGGACGGGUGAGUAACACGUGGAUAACCUACCUAUAAGACUGGGAUAACUUCGGGAAACCGGAGCUAAUACCGGAUAAUAUUUUGAACCGCAUGGUUCAAAAGUGAAAGACGGUCUUGCUGUCACUUAUAGAUGGAUCCGCGCUGCAUUAGCUAGUUGGUAAGGUAACGGCUUACCAUGGCAACGAUGCAUAGCCGACCUGAGAGGGUGAUCGGCCACACUGGAACUGAGACACGGUCCAGACUCCUACGGGAGGCAGCAGUAGGGAAUCUUCCGCAAUGGGCGAAAGCCUGACGGAGCAACGCCGCGUGAGUGAUGAAGGUCUUCGGAUCGUAAAACUCUGUUAUUAGGGAAGAACAUAUGUGUAAGUAACUGUGCACAUCUUGACGGUACCUAAUCAGAAAGCCACGGCUAACUACGUGCCAGCAGCCGCGGUAAUACGUAGGUGGCAAGCGUUAUCCGGAAUUAUUGGGCGUAAAGCGCGCGUAGGCGGUUUUUUAAGUCUGAUGUGAAAGCCCACGGCUCAACCGUGGAGGGUCAUUGGAAACUGGAAAACUUGAGUGCAGAAGAGGAAAGUGGAAUUCCAUGUGUAGCGGUGAAAUGCGCAGAGAUAUGGAGGAACACCAGUGGCGAAGGCGACUUUCUGGUCUGUAACUGACGCUGAUGUGCGAAAGCGUGGGGAUCAAACAGGAUUAGAUACCUGGUAGUCCACGCCGUAAACGAUGAGUGCUAAGUGUUAGGGGGUUUCCGCCCCUUAGUGCUGCAG